rnacentral:lncRNA from 1 species
AAAGCUGUGAUUUUGUCAAAGAGAGGAAAAGGGGGUGGGGCGCAAUUUGGAACUCUAAGCAUCUCAGAUACGGAGUGUUGGUUGUCGUCAAGGUUGCUGGUUCGAGGCUCGAUUUAAGAUCGUAGCUCUUUGUUUUCGGUUUGAGAUUAGUCCGACAUCUGUUGAUUCAGGCUUCAGUUGUUUCGGGUUUUGGGUUGUAUCGUUUGCUCGAUUUCUGUCCGUGUACUAUUGGAAAUUUCAUCAAAUGAAAGUUCGAUUUUCAAGUUUCAAUCAAGAUUGAAACCCGUUCGAGCUCGUUCAGUCGAGGUCAUCAAAGGUCCACAUUCACGUUUCCUUUCAAUUUAUGUCAUUUUCUACUCAAAUUUUGUGAAGUGUUAUUGUUUGGUGCUUUGCUAUUCUUCAUUUGUUUAUCUACUG